rnacentral:rRNA from 1 species
GAUGAACGCUGGCGGCGUGCUUAACACAUGCAAGUCGAACGGGGCAAGGGACCAAAGACCUUCGGGCCGGCGGUUCCAAAGCCUAGUGGCGGACGGGUGAGUAACGCGUGGGCAACCUGCCCCAUACCGGGGGAUAACAGCCGGAAACGGCUGCUAAUACCGCAUAAGCGCCAAAUGCCGCAUGGCAUGGGGCGGAAAACUCCGGUGGUAUGGGAUGGGCCCGCGUCUGAUUAGGCAGUUGGCGGGGCAGCGGCCCACCAAACCGACGAUCAGUAGCCGGCCUGAGAGGGCGGCCGGCCACAUUGGGACUGAGACACGGCCCAGACUCCUGCGGGAGGCAGCAGUGGGGAAUAUUGCACAAUGGGGGAAACCCUGAUGCAGCGACGCCGCGUGGGUGAAGAAGUAUUUCGGUAUGUAAAGCCCUAUCAGCAGGGAAGAAAAAAAUGACGG